rnacentral:rRNA from 1 species
AUUGAACGCUGGCGGCAGGCUUAACACAUGCAAGUCGAGCGGGGUGAUGGUGCUUGCACUAUCACUUAGCGGCGGACGGGUGAGUAAUGCUUAGGAAUCUGCCUAUUAGUGGGGGACAACAUCUCGAAAGGGAUGCUAAUACCGCAUACGUCCUACGGGAGAAAGCAGGGGAUCACUUGUGACCUUGCGCUAAUAGAUGAGCCUAAGUCGGAUUAGCUAGUUGGUGGGGUAAAGGCCUACCAAGGCGACGAUCUGUAGCGGGUCUGAGAGGAUGAUCCGCCACGCUGGGACUGAGACACGGCCCAGACUCCUACGGGAGGCAGCAGUGGGGAAUAUUGGACAAUGGGGGGAACCCUGAUCCAGCAUGCCGCGUGUGUGAAGAAGGCCUUAUGGUUGUAAAGCACUUUAAGCGAGGAGGAGGCUCUUUUGGUUAAUACCCAAGAUGAGUGGACGUUACUCGCAGAAUAAGCACCGGCUAACUCUGUGCCAGCAGCCGCAGUAA